AGUGAACGCUGGCGGUAGGCCUAACACAUGCAAGUCGAACGGCAGCACAGUAAGAGCUUGCUCUUACGGGUGGCGAGUGGCGGACGGGUGAGGAAUACAUCGGAAUCUACUUUUUCGUGGGGGAUAACGUAGGGAAACUUACGCUAAUACCGCAUACGACCUACGGGUGAAAGCAGGGGAUCUUCGGACCUUGCGCGAUUGAAUGAGCCGAUGUCGGAUUAGCUAGUUGGCGGGGUAAAGGCCCACCAGGGCGACGAUCCGUAGCUGGUCUGAGAGGAUGAUCAGCCACACUGGAACUGAGACACGGUCCAGACCCCUACGGGAGGCAGCAGUGGGGAAUAUUGGACAAUGGGCGCAAGCCUGAUCCAGCCAUACCGCGUGGGUGAAGAAGGCCUUCGGGUUGUAAAGCCCUUUUGUUGGGAAAGAAAAGCAGCAGGUUAAUACCCCGCUGUUCUGACGGUACCCAAAGAAUAAGCACCGGCUAACUUCGUG
rnacentral:rRNA from 1 species